rnacentral:rRNA from 1 species
GAUGAACGCUGGCGGCGUGCCUAAUACAUGCAAGUCGAGCGAACAGACGAGGAGCUUGCUCCUCUGACGUUAGCGGCGGACGGGUGAGUAACACGUGGAUAACCUACCUAUAAGACUGGGAUAACUUCGGGAAACCGGAGCUAAUACCGGAUAAUAUAUUGAACCGCAUAGUUCAAUAGUGAAAGACGGUUUUGCUGUCACUUAUAGAUGGAUCCGCGCCGCAUUAGCUAGUUGGUAAGGUAACGGCUUACCAAGGCAACGAUGCGUAGCCGACCUGAGAGGGUGAUCGGCCACACUGGAACUGAGACACGGUCCAGACUCCUACGGGAGGCAGCAGUAGGGAAUCUUCCGCAAAGGGCGAAAGCCUGACGGAGCAACGCCGCGUGAGUGAUGAAGGUCUUCGGAUCGUAAAACUCUGUUAUUAGGGAAGAACAAAUGUGUAAGUAACUAUGCACGUCUUGACGGUACCUAAUCAGAAAGCCACGGCUAACUACGUG